rnacentral:lncRNA from 10 species
GGUGAGGCAGGCUGUGGGCAGGGCUUCAGAGCCGCGCAGGCAGGGGCAUGGGUGGGCGUGGCUGCGUCUUAUAGGCUGAGCCACUGGCUGUGCCCCUGAGCUGAGCUGGGUGAGUACUCUAGGCAUUCCUGGCAGAGGAUACAGCAGGAGCAAAGGCCUGGAGGCUAAAAAUAGCUUGCGGGCAGGGGAGCUACCAGCAGUUCAGUGCUUCUGGAGUUUAAAGAGCCCGGCGAGGGUCAUGUCAGAUGACGCCGGUCCACGAGAAGGAGGGUGGAUUAUAUCCUUAGAGACGCCAUAGAGUGAGGAUAUAAUGGCUCUGUAACAAGCAUAAACUGUGAUGGUCUGGGAUGCCCUCGUCAUAGACAGCCCCUGGAGAGUCAUAAUGUUUAUCGAUGAGAAAACAGAAAUUUGAAGAGGCAAAGCAAGUUGCCCAAGGCCAAGGGAGAAGGUCAGCGUGAACUGCUACCGCCAUGUUGAAGUUCAUCUUCUCUUCACUGCGAGAAGCUGCCUGGACACCAGGGUGGAGGAGCUGUCAGGGCCCUCACUGUGGAAGGAAGGUCCACAGAAAACAUCCUGGGGUCCUGAGCUGAAGUGUGAUGGGAGGAGUCCUCUGUAUCUCAGUCUGAUCCUGGUCUCCCUCUCGGCCAUGGUCUCACACUAGUGCUGCUGGGAAACCAUCCCUCACAUCCAGUCCUGGCAUCGGGCAGUGACUCUGGUCCAACUGUUGUCCAACUCAAGGGUUUAGCUGCUUAGAUUUUCCUAAAACUUGAAUUUCAUUUUCCUCUAGCCAUGGAAUACAGAUUAAUCCUUUACAAUUAAAAUCCAAGUUCAGAUUUUAUUUGUUGUGGUUUUUAAUUAAAAUCUCACCAGCACUUUGUGGAUUUUUUUUUUCUUAGAAAGGCAAACACACUGUGCGUAUCAGUCAGCCUGGACUGCCAUCACAAAAUACCAUAGACUGUGUGUCUUAAAACAACAGAAAUGUAUUUUCUCACAGUUCUGGAGGCUGGAAGUUCAAGGUCAAUGUUCUGGAUGAUUUGGUUUCCAGUGAGGCCUCUCUUUCUUGCUUGCAGAUGGCUGCCAUUCUUCUGUGUCCUGUAGGGAAGUUCAAACUUUUCCUCUGAAGGUUUGAACAAACUGACAAUAUGCAGACUAAUAGGAGGAAGAAAGGCAUUCAAAGUUGCUAAUGUGCAUAAGCACAAGGCCACAGAAAAUAUGAGAUUCAAAG